rnacentral:rRNA from 1 species
UACGUAGGGGGGCGAGCGUUUGUCCGGAUUUAUUGGGCGUAAAGAGCUCGUAGGCGGCGGGGUAAGUCGGGUGUGAAAUCUCAGGGCUCAACCCUGAAACUGCACUUGAUACUGCUCUGCUUGAGGACUGGAGAGGAGACUGGAAUUCACGGUGUAGCAGUGAAAUGCGUAGAUAUCGUGAGGAAGACCAGUGGCGAAGGCGGGUCUCUGGACAGUUCCUGACGCUGAGGGCGCGAAGGCCAGGGGAGCAAAC